UGAAAAUCUCUAUGUACCUCUCCAUGUGUAGGGUUGGAUUCCCGUCCUUGGUGCCAUAGAACUUGGGGAGAUUCCCUGGAACUGUGGCCACUAAUAGCCCUGCUGGCAUAGCCACGGGCAAACCUCGUGGCCUAACUAAGGGAUCCAAAGCUGGAAGCCACUCCGUCGCCAUCUCGUGAACAAAUCCUUCGACCGCAGGCACAAAGUCCAAGGUCCUAUCCUGUUCUCCUAUUUCCCUAAGGUUCACGUCUCCAAACACUCCGUCUUUAGGGUCUACGUGUUCUAUCUCUAACUCUUCCACUUCCAACUCCUCCAAUAGCUCGCUGCCCCCGACAUCUCCUAAAGCCUUUUCUAAAUUCCUUCUAAUGUCUCCUCCAAGAAAUUCUUCAUUGCUUCUACUAUUAAUGAGUGUAUUCCGAGAAGGGGCUGCUUC
rnacentral:lncRNA from 1 species